AACAGGCCCCACCUCCUCUGAUCCAGUGCUGAUUUCUUCUGUUGACGUCUUUCUACAGCAGAUGGCUUUACGCAUAAAUCCUAUUAUCAUCUUUCUGCUGAUGGCGACACCGUGAAUGCAGGUUCUGUCGCUCUUUCAUAGUCUGCACUGAAAAACCUGUAGGUUAUUGUUUUUUUUCUUACCUCUGUAGAAGAAGACCUGGUGGAACUGAAGCCACAUCAUGUCUGCAGAGAAGAAACCAAAAAAGAAGAAAGACGAGGCCAAUGUCAAAACAGAAGCCAAGUCAAACGGAACUGAGUCCAAGCCCAAAAAAAUGAAGACCAAGAAGAAUGAGAACACAUUAGAAGAGGACAGUCCCGCUAUCCAAAAUGGAAAGAAGGUGAAGAAAAAGAAACCA